rnacentral:sRNA from 1 species
GAUUGGCCAGCUGGGGUCAUAUGAUCACUGGUUGGCCAGAAGAAGUGGGGUACUUUGAUUUACAGUCCAGCCUAGACUGCACCAAUGGUGGAGGUGGGAGUCUUCCCAGAAGAAAACUGCCAGCUAAGGGGAGGUGAAUACAUUGAUUAUACCAAAGAUCCUGGAAUAUUCAGAAGAGCAGUCGGGGAAUGUUGUCCAUGGAGUGGGACUCUGCUUUGCCCUUUUUCUCUCCGAAUGUGUGAAGUCUCUGAGUCUUUCCUCCAGUUGGAUUAUCAACCAGCGCACAGCCAUCAGGUUCCGAGCAGCUGUUUCCUCCUUUGCCUUUGAGAAGCUCAUCCAAUUUAAGUCUAUAAUACACAUCACCUCAGGAGAGGCCAUCGGCUUCUUCACCGGUGACAUAAACUACCUGUUUGAAGGGGUGUGCUAUGGACCCCUAGCACUGAUCAUCUGUGCAUCGCUGGUCAUCUGCAGCAUUUCUUCCUACUUCAUUAUUGGAUACACUGCAUUUAUUGCCAUUUUAUGCUAUCUCCUGGUUUUCCCUCUGGAGGCAUUCAUGACAAGAAUGGCUGUGAAGGCUCAGCAUCACACAUCUGAGGUCAGCGACCAGCGCAUCCGUGUGACCAGUGAAGUCCUCACUUGCAUUAAGCUGAUUAAAAUGUA